rnacentral:rRNA from 1 species
GUGAGGAAUAUUGGUCAAUGGGCGCGAGCCUGAACCAGCCAAGUAGCGUGAGGGAUGACUGCCCUAUGGGUUGUAAACCUCUUUUGCAGGGGGGUAAAGUGGUUCACGUGUGGACCAUUGCAAGUACCCUGCGAAUAAGGAUCGGCUAACUCCGUGCCAGCAGCCGCGGUAAUACGGAGGAUCCGAGCGUUAUCCGGAUUUAUUGGGUUUAAAGGGAGCGUAGGCGGGGGUUUCAGUCAGCUGUGAAAUGCCGUGGCCCAACCAUGGAACUGCAGUUGAAACUGGACCUCUUGAGAGUACAUAAGGAAGGCGGAAUUCGUGGUGUAGCGGUGAAAUGCAUAGAUAUCACGAAGAACUCCGAUUGCGAAGGCAGCUUUCCGGGGUACAUCUGACGCUGAAGCUCGAAAGUGCGGGAAUCAAACAGGAUUAGAAACCCUUGUAGUCC